GACAGAGGGUGCAAACGUUGCUCGGAAUUACUGGGCGUAAAGCGCGUGUAGGCGGUUCCGCAAGUCAGGUGUGAAAUCCCCGGGCUUAACCUGGGAACUGCGCUUGUGACUGCACAGCUAGAGUAUGGCAGAGGGGGGUGGAAUUCCACGUGUAGCAGUGAAAUGCGUAGAGAUGUGGAGGAACACCGAUGGCGAAGGCAGCCCCCUGGGCCAAUACUGACGCUCAUGCACGAAAGCGUGGGGAGCAAACAGG
rnacentral:rRNA from 1 species